CCCUUCGAUGUCCUGGGCUGCACGCGUGCUACAAUGACAGAUUCAGCGAGUUUUUCGCUUGCUCGAGAGGGCUGGCUAAUCUUUGAAAAUCUGUCGUACCAAGGACUGCUGAUUGCAAUUAUUCGGCACGAAUCAGGAAUGCCUUGUACCUGUGAGUCAACAGCUCACAGGGAAUACGUCCCUGCUCUUUGUACACACCGCCCGUCGCUGCUACCAAUUGGUGUCCCCGGUGAAAAGUUCGGAGUGAGUGCGUGGCGGCGUCAAACCCGCCUGGAUUUGCAAAGUUCUUUAAAUCUUGGGCACUAGAGGAAGCAGAANUCGUANCA
rnacentral:rRNA from 1 species